GCAGCCUACUCUUAUUGAUAGAUUUCUUUAUUUUGUCUUCACCUUUUACUCAUGCUAUGUUAACAAAAACUCCAUCUGUUCUUCGUGGUGGUAGGCGUCCUGCAUUUCAUUUUACGGAUCUUCAUCAAAGAAAUCCUUUGCAUUUUUCUACAGUUUCUCAUUAUCUUCGAUCUUCUUAAAUUUUGUCAUGGAAGCAACACGUAUCAUUUAGGCAUC
rnacentral:lncRNA from 1 species